rnacentral:tRNA from 1 species
UCUUCCUUGGUCUAGUGGUCAUGAUUUCCGCUUGUCAUCGUCAGAUUACGAGCGCGGGAGACCGGGGUUCGAUUCCCCGAGGGAGAG